AAUGAACGUUGGCGGCAUGGAUUAGGCAUGCAAGUCGCGCGCGAAACGUAGCAAUACGUGGAGAGCGGCGAAAGGGAGAGGAAUACGUGGGAACCUACCUCGGGGCCUGGAAUAGCGGCGGGAAACUGCCGGUAAUGCCAGAUAACGUCUCCGCACCAAAGGUGUGAUUCCGCCUGGAGAUGGGCCCACGUCCUAUCAGCUUGUUGGUGUGGUAAUGGCGCAGCAAGGCUAAGACGGGUAUGGGGUGUGAGAGCAUGCCCCCACUCACUGGGACUGAGACACUGCCCAGACACCUACGGGUGGCUACAGUCGAGAUUCUUCGGUAAUGGGCGCAAGCUUGACAGAGCGCUGCCGCGUGCGGGGUGAAGGCCCUCGGGUUGUAAACCGCUGUCGUAGAGGAGUAAUGGUAAGGGGGUUCUCCCUCUGAUUUGAACAAUUCUAGGAGGAAGGACGGGCUAAGUUCGUGCCAGCAGCCGCCGUAACAC
rnacentral:rRNA from 1 species